rnacentral:rRNA from 1 species
UACGAAGGGGGCUAGCGUUGCUCGGAAUCACUGGGCGUAAAGGGUGCGUAGGCGGGUCUUUAAGUCAGGGGUGAAAUCCUGGAGCUCGACUCCAGAACUGCCUUUGAUACUGAAGAUCUUGAGUUCGGGAGAGGUGAGUGGAACUGCGAGUGUAGAGGUGAAAUUCGUAGAUAUUCGCAAGAACACCAGUGGCGAAGGCGGCUCACUGGCCCGAUACUGACGCUGAGGAGCGAAAGCAUGGGGAGCGAACAGG